GGAGCAAUGAAGCAAAAGAGCAAUGCAGUGAGGAACAAGAGGCUGAAAAAGGGCUCCUGAUGCAUGCUUAGAAACACGACAGGCUGCAGCUCCAAAUAAGCCUCAUUUGCAUUGCAUAUUUCUCUCAGGAAAUUCUCUGUCCUUCCCAGCAAGCAACUGUGUACAUAAGAGACAUUGUUCUGCCAAAGAGUUUACACAAAUAACUCUGACGGAUUUGUCAUCCCACCUCAGAGCCCUUCAAAGUACCCCUAGACCAGAAGAAAGGAAGUGUACCUUGACUUUCCACCCCGCAGACUGCACGGCUGCACUACUCUCCUUGCUCACUCUUCCUCUCUGUAAGAUGGCUCAGGCAGCAAAGUAUAGGCAGCAUUUGCCACACAUCCAUCUCAUCAGUAUGCAAAUUUGCUUUCAUCAUAAAAUUAAAUGCAUACCAAAUAAUUGUUUCAAAAUAAACUCCUUCAUGAUU